rnacentral:rRNA from 1 species
CUUGACAUCCAGAGAAUUUAGCAGAGAUGCUUUAGUGCCUUCGGGAACUCUGAGACAGGUGCUGCAUGGCUGUCGUCAGCUCGUGUUGUGAAAUGUUGGGUUAACGUCCGCAACGAGCGCAACCCUUAUCCUUUGUUGCCAGCACGUAAUGGUGGGAACUCAAAGGAGACUGCCGGUGAUAAACCGGAGGAAGGUGGGGAUGACGUCAAGUCAUCAUGGCCCUUACGAGUAGGGCUACACACGUGCUACAAUGGCGCAUACAAAGAGAAGCGACCUCGCGAGGGCAAGCGGACCUCAUAAAGUGCGUCGUAGUCCGGAUUGGAGUCUGCAACUCGACUCCAUGAAGUCGGAAUCGCUAGUAAUCGUAAAUCAGAAUGUUACGGUGAAUACGUUCCCGGGCCUUGUACACACCGCCCGUCACACCAUGGGAGUGGGUUGCAAAAGAAGUAGAUAGCUUAACCUUCGGGAGGGCGUUUACCACUUUGUGAUUCAUGACUGGGGUGAAGUCGUAACAAGGUAAGCGUAGUGCU